GACUCUGUAGCUCAUGCAGUUGGUCAAAGCGCUGCUCCGGAAUCGCAGGGCUGCAGGCUCGAUUCCUGCCAGGGACC